GCCUCCCCUUCACCCUCACACCAAGGAGGUGGCCAUCUGUGGCCCAAAACUGCGUGCCGAUGCCACCCAGGGUGGGAUUCGGGCUGUACCUCCUGUGUCUCUCAGGGUCAGAAGUUCUUGGAGUGAAUGUUGGCUUUGGAGCGCACCAAUUUCUCAGAAUUCCAGCUUUCGGUUUGUUUUUCACCCCCAAGGCUUCUUGCCUUUCAUGCCACCUCAGCAAUAUGUUGUAAAAGCUUUUAUCCAGUUUAUGUUAUCUGAUAAUUCCGUCGUUUCCCUUGAAGGAAGGAAGAGUUCAGGGUGCCUCGUCUGCUGUACCACUGGAAACCAAAGCCUCAAGAUCUCCACACUGUAUUCCCAUGAUGUGUCACCCAGAUAUCAGUCCAUGCAAAACUUUCAUCCCACCGCAAAGUCCAGAGAGAAGAGAAAGCGGGGAGAGAGGAUUCAGGUUCUCUCCUUCAUGCCUGAACGCCGCAAAGGGGGUGCCCAUGACGGUGCACAAGACCCACCACACACAAGCCUCAGCAUCACCUCAUGCGACCACAGUCAUCCACUAGACUUCUGCCCGACAGAACUGGAGGAAGGUGGCUUUCUCUCUUACCAGUGUGCCAAGGAAGGUGCUGAUUGUGCGUGCCGCCUGGCAGAGGGCGCCAUACUCCUCGAGGAGGAGAGAGAUGAACUGGUGUGCCUGUGGAGGGCCCUGCAGGGCAGACGGCGCUUUCACUUUAGAUGCUGCCGACAGCUGCCGGAGGAGUCGGACCUUCAUCUCCAGCACGUACUCCCUAGCUUGUUGCUCCAAUCGCUGGUACAGCUGGUAGGGGUCCCUCUCACAGAGCCUGCACAGAGAAGACAGCAUCACCACUCACCUGGGACCCACCCACACAUAGCCCUCUGUGGAACUGCUCUGCCAGCAAGCUGCAGGCACCCAUCCAACAAUAGCAACAAGCACCAUCUUCUCAACAACCUGUGAGAGGUGCCAUCACCCUGCUCAACACAGCGCAUCAGCUGACAAAGCUCAGUAUUUACACCAAACUUACUCUGUACUAGCAUUGUGUCUCACAUGUACCAACUCAGGUAAUCACUGAGUUAAUCAUUCAGCUGAACCCCAAAGUCCACAUGGGCUGGGUAAAACACUGGAACUCACACGGCCAGCAGGUGGCAGAGUGUCCACACCAGGACCUCAGCAGCUGUCUUGAGAAGAAGGUACUUUCUCAACCACAGGACCAUUAAAAACACAGGAGACUGAAAACAAUUCAUUUUCAAUGCCCGUAUGUUAGGUGAAAAGCAACGAUUCCAGCACAGGUGGUACCUGGCUUGGAAGACUAGAGUAGACUGUUCUGUCCUUCUUCCUAGGAAUUCAAUAUAUAGUCCAAAUGGGCUUGUAUUAUUUUUAUAAUCAGAGGAAACCGUAGAAGCAAUAUGUCUCUUUUUCAGUUAUCCCACCAAAAAAACAAUGAAAAUAUAUAAAAUAAAAUCUCUAAAUUGAAGAGAAGGGAAAAAAUUAAUAUGUGCCUUUCCACCAGGGCCACAAUAGCAAUUAACAUUUUUAUGAAUGUUUUUCCUAACCUGGAACUAAUCUACUAAAGUGGCAGCUACUUCUAACUGGGCACUUGAAACUGGCACUGGCCUGCAGACAGACCCAAGACCACUGGGGCGAGGACAGGACCCAGCUGUGAGGAGCCAUCAGGAAAAAGCACCCAAGGCUAGCACUUUAUCAGACAUGAGUGGUGAAACCUAUCAAGCUAUGGUUCCUAGAUUUUCCAUAGUUCCUGGAUCCUUUUACCUUCAGGGCACCACAUCUGGUCAAGAGAAAAGAAUGGAUAGUGCCAUCUAGUCCAGUUUUAUGCUAGCGCACCCCCUUGUUAUAAAAACAAGAGGGGACUAAAACCUAGCAAUAGGGCAUAGGAAGCCUUCCACACAACGUGGCCAGAAAACAGAAAGACUUAUGGAAUUUCCACUGGGUUCAGUACAUUUCAGAAAGAUCUAUCAGUUUUUUAGUGUUAAGAAUCCCAACUACCCUGUGAAACAGAAUGCAUUUCAUCUGUUAAAGGAAUGCCACAGAAGACUCAAAUGACAGAGAAACAACCAAACUUUCCAGUAGACUGGAUGCCUCUUAGCAUGGCCAAUUAAACAUCCAUUUUAUUUUUUAUUUCUUUGCCCAUUUCUGUAUCUUAGAAAUUUAAUGAAAUGGCCAUGUGGUACUUUUGCAAUGAAAUGGCCAUGUGGUACUUUUGCAAGUAGAUUUUUUAAAAAGUCGUAUGACCAAGAGGCAGGAACAUGCUAAAAGAUGCUAUGGUGGCUCAUUCACAUAUACAUUCAACAAAAACCAUUGUAUGUGCGCUAAAGGCUAUUCUAAGAUGGCAAAGCCACAGCAGUGAAGAAGCUAAGGAAACAAACUCUCCACUCUCAUGAUGCUUAUGGCAUAUGCAAGUGGAUGAUGGAAUUCUGGGUAAUGGCAGGAACAUAAUAAAAAAGAAGGCAAAAGGGAUAAACAGUGAUGGCAGGGAGGCCCCCCGGGGUCUUAGAGAGGGUGGCCUCUUGAGAAGGUGACUCUGAAAGGUAAUGUGAACAAUGGAAGGGAGAAAAAACAACCCUGAGAAAGGAAGAACACUGCAGAAAGAAGAGAAGAGCAAAUUUGAAGGCCCUGCAGCAGGAGCAAGUGUGGCCAGCAGAGGAACGGCGGGAAGCUAGCACAGCUGGAACGCAGUGAUGAAUGGUCUGAGGGCAGCAUACAGCAGGACCGUGUGGGACACAGAGGGCCACAAAGAGGAGGCAAGGAUUAUCAUCACCAGUUGUACAGACUUCCAGAAACGGGCUUUACAAACAUCCCUCUCCUGAUGUCUAUCAGCCCACAAACGACAAAGACAACAGCACUCUUGGAUGCAAGGACAAGGGAAAGUGCAGCAUAUCUGAUACAGGCACACUUUCAGCUAAAGGUGUAACAUUUCCACAUUCUUAACAGCGUAUUUCACUAACAGGGUGAUGCUGUUUCCCAAACCUCAGCAAUUCCCAUUACCACCUUUACCCUCUGCCAUAACAGCUCUCAUGGGUACUAGUGUCUGCCAAGUGCUUUCCUUCGACUGCUUAUUUGACUCCAGUAGCUUCCUAAGCAUUGGUAGUCUAUGAAGUCAUAUGCCUGAAUGGCAGGCCCCAUGUUUCUUCCUCACACACACUAGGAAACCUAACUUCCAGAACAGACACCUACCACCCGGAGCCAUAUCCUGUAACACUGGGGGUUUACCAGUCAAGUCCCAAACACACUGGCUUGAUUCAUCCACCUGUUAAGAGGACCCACGGCCAAGCACUACUCCUUGCUCCAGGAUAAACUGUGCUGUACAGAAAACAACAGUUUCUAAAACCCCCAUUCAAAACGUGAGAAAAACAAACCAAAAGGAGAAUUGACCCUUGAAAUGUCUAGCUCAAAUGCGUUCCUUUUAUUUGGAACACUCAAAAAAGAGGGAAAAAGAUGUUACAAAUUCUAAAGAAGAAUAAAAAUGAUGCGCAUCUCAACUUCUGUAUUGUCACUGGGCACAAGGUGUCUGCUGGAGAACAGACACUCAGCUGUAAGCCACUCCUCGCUGAGAAACACCCACACAGACAGGCUUGGCUACAGCUGGCUCUGCACUCACACUACAUGCACGUUCUCAAACUACCUGACCUUUCAGAAGGUCAGGCUUUCUUGCCCCCUAAUGGGAUAACUGCCUGUCCUCCUUGGGUUGAUUGCCUGAGAGAGUGCUUAGCAUCAUCCCUAGCACUGUAAAGAUUGGAAAGUUGUGUUACAGUCUGUUACACUAAGAAAUGAGAGAAACAUGUCGAUUCAUUUUAUUAAAAAGGCAAUUAGCAUUUCAUCAGAAUUAGAAUUUGAAACUCUACCCAGAGGGCUUGCUUUUGGCAAUCCCUCUGCUGAAGACUGGCCGUGCAGCUGGGGCUGAGCAAGUGGAGCCGAGCUUACUGGAUCCUGAAAGGAAAGCCCACCCCAAGCAGAGGGGAGGCUUCCUGGGCAGCAGCUUGGUCCUGCCAGCCCUCAUGGGUAGGGAACCAAAGAUCCACAUCCAUCUUGUUCUUCUGCGUGACCACCAGGCUCCUCAGACUCAGGGAUGGCUCAAAUGCCUGCUGUCUUUAUGGAAAUGGCUCCUUUCCUGUUCCAGCUCCAGAGCAUGUCAGAGUGGCCCUGCUCCCAUCCAUCCCGCGGGCAACACUGGUACCUGCGCUCGCUGCAGGCCUCACAGGCGCACGUGGCAUCCGAGGGGGCAGUGCCCAGCCCCGCUGAGGGCAGUGUCUGUGCGCCGAGGGCUAGCCUCCCGCCGCCUGCCUCCGGCUGGGACCCACCAAGAGGGGAGUGAAGAAGAAAGUCUUGGCCCUGCUUUAAAAAGAGAACAGAAUAAACUAUAUUCAAAUGUUCAAGGUACAAAUUUAUUAACAUGUCAGAAAAAUACCUUUUAGAAAUAAAUUUAAACCUAGACACUGACAAGAUCUCCAAUGACAUCAUCAGCAUAACUUUCUCUUGGGACAUUCAAGAAUUUUGUUUCCAACCAAUUAUUUUUUACCUUCGGAUAGUUCUACCAUAAUCUCAUGAAGACAGUAAGUUUCUUUCAUGCUUUAGAAAAGAGCAGCUCCUCUACCAGGGUCCUAAUCAGCACAUGCAACAAUCAGCGCAGUGGGCGCCUCCUCCAAGUGACGCCCCAACACUCAUGCCAGCUCCAACCCUCAUGACUGGACCCAAAAGCCCCUAGAAGGUCUCAUCAACAGCC